rnacentral:rRNA from 1 species
CGAGGGGCAGCACGAUGUAGCAAUACAUUGGUGGCGACCGGCAAACGGGUGCGGAACACGUACGCAACCUUCCUUUGAGUGGGGAAUAGCCCAGAGAAAUUUGGAUUAAUACCCCGUAAGAUCGUGGUGAGGCAUCUCACAGCGAUAAAAGCUGCGGCACUCGAAGAUGGGCGUGCGCCUGAUUAGGUAGUUGGUGAGGUAACGGCUCACCAAGCCGACGAUCAGUAACUGGCGUGAGAGCGCGACCAGUCACACGGGCACUGAGACACGGGCCCGACUCCUACGGGAGGCAGCAGUAAGGAAUAUUGGUCAAUGGACGCAAGUCUGAACCAGCCAUGCCGCGUGGAGGAUGAAGGUCCUCUGGAUUGUAAACUUCUUUUAUCUGGGAAGAAAUGUGCGCUUUCUAGCGUAUUUGACGGUACCAGAUGAAUAAGCACCGGCUAACUCCGUGCCAGCAGCCGCGGUAAUACGGAGGGUGCAAGCGUUAUCCGGAUUCACUGGGUUUAAAGGGUGCGUAGGCGGAACUGUAAGUCCGUGGUGAAAUCUCCGAGCUUAACUCGGAAACUGCCGUGGGUACUGUGGUUCUUGAAUGUUGUGGAGGUUUGCGGAAUAUGUCAUGUAGCGGUGAAAUGCUUAGAUAUGACAUAGAACACCGAUUGCGAAGGCAGCAGGCUACACAAAUAUUGACGCUGAGGCACGAA